ensembl:lncRNA
GGAAGUUUGCCCACAACUGUUAAAUUACUUUAGCCUCCACUACAAGAUGACUGGUUACUGAAAAUAAUCCCAGGGAAUGGUGCACAGGAGUCAUUCAAGAGUCCCUUUUUCUUUAGAGAUGCACUGCUCCACUGCUCUCCCUCAUGAUCCUUAGGAUAGCUCUUGAGAGGGGUAUCCAGGAGUUAUGAAAUAAAGAAAUUUUGAAACUUCUCAGACAUAUAUCCAUAAAAUGGUCAUCUGGUCAGUUUGGCUGUUUCUUCAUUGAUAAAGGAUUCUGCUUCAGGUAAUG